ACUCGCUUGGUGAAAUGGUAAACACGAUAGAUUUAAAAUCUGUUCCUCUAGUGGGUUAUUGGUUCAAGUCCGAUAGCGAGUA
rnacentral:tRNA from 1 species